ACGGGUGAGUAAUAUAUCGGAACGUGCCCAGUAGUGGGGGAUAGCCCGGCGAAAGCCGGAUUAAUACCGCAUACGACCUACGGGUGAAAGCGGGGGAUCGCAAGACCUCGCGCUAUUGGAGCGGCCGAUAUCAGAUUAGGUAGUUGGUGGGGUAAAAGCCUACCAAGCCGACGAUCUGUAGCUGGUCUGAGAGGACGACCAGCCACACUGGGACUGAGACACGGCCCAGACUCCUACGGGAGGCAGCAGUGGGGAAUUUUGGACAAUGGGCGCAAGCCUGAUCCAGCCAUGCCGCGUGCGGGAAGAAGGCCUUCGGGUUGUAAACCGCUUUUGUCAGGGAAGAAAUCCUCUGAGUUAAUACCUCGGGGGGAUGACGGUACCUGAAGAAUAAGCACCGGCUAACUACGUGCCAGCAGCCGCGGUAAUACGUAGGGUGCAAGCGUUAAUCGGAAUUACUGGGCGUAAAGCGUGCGCAGGCGGUUGUGCAAGACAGGUGUGAAAUCCCCGGGCUUAACCUGGGAACUGCACUUGUGACUGCACAGCUGGAGUGCGGCAGAGGGGGAUGGAAUUCCGCGUGUAGCAGUG
rnacentral:rRNA from 1 species